rnacentral:rRNA from 1 species
UACGGAGGGUGCAAACGUUGCUCGGAAUCAUUGGGCGUAAAGCGCACGUAGGCGGCCUGACAAGUCGGGUGUCAAAUCCCAGGGCUCAACCCUGGACAGGCGGUGGAAACUACCAAGCUGGAGUACGGUAGGGGCAGAGGGAAUUCCUGGUGUAGCGGUGAAAUGCGUAGAGAUCAGGAAGAACAUCGGUGGCGAAGGCGCUCUGCUGGACCAUAACUGACACUCAGGGACGAAAGCUAGGGGAGCGAAUGGG